rnacentral:lncRNA from 1 species
GAAGAGGGUCCUUCACAGCCAUGGGAGCCGAGCCCAGAGCAGGCGGCAGCAGCGUCUUUGCCACCCCAGGCCUAAAAGCAGCCGGGUGGGGCCCCUGACAGGUGCCUCGGAGCGAACUGCCCUUUUUGGCCCAGCCCUCAGGGUCCUGCCAGGGCCCUUGCUGCCCAAAAGGCCCGGGGCCUGGCUGACGACCCGCUACACCGUGGGCCCCCGGCCGAGUGUAGGAUCUCAGAUGGAAACACCCUGAACUGCCACCGGGCGAGUUAAAGGAGCACCAGCUGCUCCCGUUCCUGAGUCCCACACCCUUCCCUGCUCCCUGCCACGGUUUUCCAAAUUCCACGGGCGUGAAGUGUCCCCUGCGUUUAGGGAUUCAGCCCCCCAACAGCUUCUCCAAAACAUCUUCCUUCACUGCAGGCUGCCUCGGCCUGAGGCCCACACAACCAUGGAGAGGUUUACAGACAGCUCUCGGCCUCCUGCGGGCUGAAAGCCCCCCUGGACCAGGCAGCUUUCCGACAGGCUAAUGCCCCCACCAAGUGGACGGGGCGUGCUCGGCUCAGGGACACCGGGUGCCUUUGUCGUCAAACGAUGGAGCGAACGUGCUCAUUCUGCAGUCCCACAGGACUCCCAAAACACCUGGCAGGGCCCUCACCACACUCAGCCACCUUCCUCUCCCACAACCCUGGCUCUGUUGCUCCAAGGCCUCUGCCACCUCCUUCCUCAGCACCAAAGAACGAGGAGACGCGCACCAUGACCCCCAGGGACGGCCGUUCUCCUGCCCACGAUCUAGGCAUUAGUGAGCUUGGGGUCAGCUGCGGGGAGAUGGAGCGGCGUCAAUGGAGUGAUAAACAGUUUAUCCGCACGAUAUGCCAGCUCCAGCCCAUCUGUCCUAGUGCCUGCUGUCUGCAGAGGCACCGGAUGGAUCAUGCGACACGGAAAUGCGGGUGCGGCCAGCCAGGAUGGAUGCUACCCGACCUCCGAGGGAGAUACAGCCGUGAUGGAGACCCCGCUAAUGGAUCAGAAGAGGAAUGGGGCCCGCACAGGAGCGGCGAGGCUCAUGCAUCUUGUAGAGGAGCUGAGAUCCUAAUCUCUCAGCCAGCCGCUCCCUCACACUCUUCUUUCCGCCCUCCCCCACCCGGGAAACAGGCUCUACCAACAGCAGACGGUCAGCAAGACGCCACAUGGAGCAUGGAGGACAGCGGGUCAUCAGCUGGCAGAGUGAGGCCCGAGGCCCAGGCCACAAAACCACACUGGGAGUUUACAGAGAAUCCUGCCUCCACUGUCAGCGGCUUCCAGAAUCAACGUGGAGUCAGCUUGUUUACUAGAAUUUCAAUAAGGAACUCUCAAACUCCACAUCUGACUAUCAGAGAGAGUAGAUCAGAAAAAGCCUCGUAUAUUCAGUAGUUUCUGCUUUUCACAACUCUAACUGCAUUUGUUUCCUGGGGAUGGGGACUUAGGCAAUGGAAGUUUGUUUUUGCAUGGUUCUGGAGGCUGGAGGCCAAGAUCAAGGUGUCAGCAUGGUUGGUUCCUUCUGGAGGCUGAGGGAGGCCCGGCUCCAGCCUCUCUCUUAGUGACUGGAGGCUGCUGGCCAUCCAUUGUUCCUCAGCUCCCGGCAAUAUCACUCUCCAUCACAGGGGUCUCUGUGUGUUUAUCUGUGUCCAAAUAUCCCCUUUUUAUGAGGACGCCGUCAUAUUGGAUUGGGGCCACGCUACUACUGUAUGAGCUCUGUCACCAAAUAAGGUUGUGUUCUGAGGAGCUGGGGGCUACUGCUCCAACACAGUGUGUAUGGGGGACACCACUUAGCCCUGGGCACUGUAGGGAAAUCCUGACCAUCAGCUUCUGUGAAGACAGCAGCCUCGGCCCCCAUGGAUCCCUUCAGCAGAGCUCCAGUUCCAGGCAGGAGGCCAGGGCCAGCAGCCUGAACCAUUUUAUUUUAAUCUUGUUUCUGUCACACUCCACUGGUUUGCCAGGGACGUUUGGGGAACUCCUGGGCACCCGGGAACUGUCUUCUGGCUGGGGCUAAAGACCGAGAGUGCCCCUAUUGGUGGCACUGGGUCCUCUGUCUCAUCUCCCAACUUGUCCUUUGUCCUGUGAACAACCUCAAGGUCGUUAACAUCCUGAUGCAGGCCCCUUGGUGAUGCUGUUUACCUCUGUGCCCUCACUGCAGUGUGUAGGACCAGCCCUAAUAGGUGCUUAGUGAACACCUACUGAAGUAUCCAACCCAUUGGUCAUCAUUUUGCUGUAUCUAGCAUUGACGAUGUAGAAAAAGAUUCCAGCUUGGCAUAGACACAGUGAAGCUGUAAAAAAGAGUUAUGGAGUCUGGCAUGUAAGGCACUCAGAGGUCUCCCAUCAGUCCUAAUGAAACAAGUAAAAUGCUGAACAAACUGAAAAUCAACAACUCUUCUUAGACUCAUCAGACAAGUAAGGUCACAUGGCAAGCCCCUGCCUUCACAAUUGGAGAGACAGGUGGAUACAGAGAAGCACAACUUACCUGAGCAGAAACACAUGAGCAGAAACCUCUUGAGCUGCUGGAAGCUCAGUGCGGACAAGUCUGAGAGUUAUCAGCUCCAGGGGACCCGGGCAUUGGGGGCACACCUUUGUGAGUUUUAACUCCAGGAGCCCUGCAGUGCCCACAGUGAACAUCAGAGAAAUGUCCCCUGUGCUUUAGGCAGGGGAAAGGUAAAGGGGCUGUUCUGAGUUACACCAGAGCAUUCUCUUCUUAGCAAAGCUUCAGGAGAAACUAUUUAACCAGAGCCAGACCUGCUACAGUUUUAUCAGAGCUGAGAUUGGAAACACCCAACUCCAGCCCACUCUAGCCAUCCUGUUCCACCUAAGGGAGGAAGAAUCUGAGAGGUUCUUGUGUAGCUCGUGGCCCCAGUCUCACUGGGGCUGAGACCGAGUCAUAGGACCAUAGACACUCCCCCUACAGCAUGGCCACUUCACUAAAGUCCUAUUUACAGCAGUUCCCUUUUACCCUGUACAACCUGUCCACCUUUCAACAAAAAAUUACAAGACUAACAGGCAAAAAACACUGUUUGAAGAGACUGAACCAGCAUCAGAAUCAGUCAGAUAUGGCAGGAAUGCUGGGAUUCCUGAAAUUUUUAAAGCUGUGAUUAAUAUACUAAGGCUUUAAUGUAGACGGCAAACAACAUUCAGGGGCAAAUGAAUAACAUAAGCAGAGAGGUAGAAAUUCUGGCAAAAACAUGCUAGAGAUCAAAACCACUGCAACAGAAAUAAAGAAUUCCUGUGAUGGACUCAUUAGUAGACUGGACACAACUGAGGAAAGAAUCUUUCAGCAUGAGGAUGUGAUAAUAGAAACUUUCAAAACUGAAUAGCAAAGAAAAAAAACACACUAUCUAAGAAGAACUGUGGGACAACUACAAAAGGUUUAAUAUAUGCUUAAUGGAAAUACCAGGAGGAAAAGAAAGAGAUCAAGAAACAGAGGCAAUACUUAAAGCAAUAAUGAUGAAGAAUUUUUCUCAAACAAAUGUCAGACACCAAACCAAAGAUCUUCAGGAAUCUGUGGAGGUCAGAGAGCACCAAGCAGUAUAAAUGCCAAAAAAAAAAAGAGACAUCUAUUCGUAUCAUACUCAAACUUCAGAAAAUCAAAGUAAAAGAAAAAAUCUUAAGAGAAACGACAUGGAAAAAACCCUUCCCUAUAGAGGAGCUGUGAUAAGAAUCACAUCUGACUUAUUCUCAGAAAUCAUCUAAGCAAGAAGGGAGUAGAGUAAAAUAUUUAAAGUGUUGAGAAAAAAGCAGCUCACCAACCUAGAAUUCUAUACCCUGUGAAACUAUCCUUUAAAAGUGAAGAAAAAAUAAUGACUUUCUCAGACAAAAUUGAGAAAUUUCUUGUCCACAGACCUGCUUGCAAGAAAUAUUAAAAAUUCUUUAGAGGGAAGAAAAAUUACAGAGGUCAGAAACUUGAAUCUUUAUAAAGAAAGAAAGGACACUGAAGAAGAAAUGAGUGAAAGUUAAAUAAAAGGUUCUAUUUUUCAUAUUGUUAGUUGAUCUAACAGGUAACACUGUGUUCAAAAUAAUGCCAAUAUAAUAGCAAAAUAAUGGCAAUAAAGCAGUGCUUAGAUGAAAAUUUAUAGCAUUGAAUAUAUUUUAGAAAAGAAGAAUAUCACCCAAGCACAGUGGCUCAUCCCUAUAAUCCCAGCAAUUUGGGUGGCCGAGACAGGUGGAUCAAUUGAGGUCAGGAGUUCAAGACCAUCCUGGCCAACAUGAUGAAACCCUAUCUCUACUAAAAAUACAAAAAUUAGCUGGGUGUGGUGGCACACACCUGUAAUUCCAGCUACUUGGGAGGCUGAGGCAGGAGAAUCACUUGAACCCAGGAGGAGGAAGUUGCAAUGAGCUGAGAUCAUGCCAUUGCACUCCAGCCUGGGUGACAGAAUGAGACUCUGUCCCAAAAAAAAAAAAAAAAAAUCUAAAAUCAAUCAUCUAAGCUUCCACCUUAGGAAACUAGAAAAGGAAAAGCAGUUAAAUCCAAAGUAAUCAGAAGAAAGAAAACAAUAAAAAUUAGAACAGAAACAAUAACAUUAAAAACAGAAAAUAAAAAAAGAAAAUCAAGAAAAUCCAAAGAUGGUUCUUUGAAAAUAUCAUUAAAAUUGAUAAGACUCUAGCCAGGAUGAUUAAGAAAAAAGAGAGGACACAACUUACUAAUAUCAGAAAGGAAAGAGGAAACAUCACUACAGAUCCCAUAGCUAUUUAAAGGAUAAUAAAUAAACAUUAUGAAUAACCCUAUGUCUACAUAUUUGAUAACCUAAAGGAAAUAGACCAAUUCAUUGAAAGACACAAUUUGCCAAAACUCACAAAAGAAGAAAUAGACUAUCAGGUCUAUAGUAAAGAGGUUGAAUCAAUAGUUAAUAACCUCCCAAAACAGAAAGCACCAGGCCCAGAUGGGGUCACUGGUGAAUUCUACCAAACAUUUAAGGAAAAAUUGUGCCAAUUCUCUACAAUAUCUGCCAGAAGAUGGAAGCAAAGCCAACACUUCCUAACUCAUUAUAUGAGACCAACAUUACCUUAAUAGCAAAACCAGACAAAGACAUUACAAGAAAAAAAAAACAAAGACCAAUAUCUCUCAUAAAUAUAGAUGCAAAAACACUCAACAAAAUAUUAGCAAAUCAAAUCCAAUAAAGUGUAAAAAAAUUAUACACCACAACCAGGUGGGUUUUAUCCUAGGUAUGCAAGUCUGAUUCAACAUUCAAAGUUCAAUUAAUAAAAUCCAUCACUCAACAGGCUAAGAAAGAAAAAACAGAUGAUUACAUUAAUAGAUGAAAAUAUUGGGGUUUUUG